CGCGGCCUAUCAGCUUGUUGGUGGGGUAAUGGCCUACCAAGGCGGCGACGGGUAGCCGGCCUGAGAGGGUGGACGGCCACAUUGGGACUGAGAUACGGCCCAGACUCCUACGGGAGGCAGCAGUGGGGAAUAUUGCACAAUGGGCGGAAGCCUGAUGCAGCGACGCCGCGUGAGGGAUGACGGCCUUCGGGUUGUAAACCUCUUUCAGUAGGGAAGAAGCGAGAGUGACGGUACCCGCAGAAGAAGCGCCGGCUAGCUACGUGCCAGCAGCCGCGGUAAUACGUAGGGCGCAAGCGUUGUCCGGAAUUAUUGGGCGUAAAGAGCUCGUAGGCGGUUUGUCGCGUCUGCUGUGAAAGCCCGGGGCUCAACCCCGGGUCUGCAGUGGGUACGGGCAGACUAGAGUGCAGUAGGGGAGACUGGAAUUCCUGGUGUAGCGGUGAAAUGCGCAGAUAUCAGGAGGAACACCGAUGGCGAAGGCAGGUCUCUGGGCUGUUACUGACGCUGAGGAGCGAAAGCAUGGGGAGCGAACAGGAUUAGAUACCCUGGUAGUCCAUGCCGUAAACGUUGGGCACUAGGUGUGGGGGACAUUCCACGUUUUCCGCGCCGUAGCUAACGCAUUAAGUGCCCCGCCUGGGGAGUACGG
rnacentral:rRNA from 1 species